rnacentral:rRNA from 1 species
UACGUAGGGACCAAGCGUUGUUCGGAUUUACUGGGCGUAAAGGGCGCGUAGGCGGCGUGACAAGUCACUUGUGAAAUCUCUGAGCUUAACUCAGAACGGCCAAGUGAAACUGUUGUGCUAGAGUGCAGAAGGGGCAAUCGGAAUUCUUGGUGUAGCGGUGAAAUGCGUAGAUAUCAAGAGGAACACCUGAGGUGAAGACGGGUUGCUGGGCUGACACGUGACGCUGAUGCGCGAAAGCCAGGGGAGCAAACGGG